rnacentral:rRNA from 1 species
AGAGUUUGAUCCUGGCUCAGGACGAACGCUGGCGGCGUGCUUAACACAUGCAAGUCGAGCGGAAAGGCCCUUCGGGGUACUCGAGCGGCGAACGGGUGAGUAACACGUGAGCAACCUGCCCCUGGCUCUGGGAUAGCCUCCGGAAACGGGGAUUAAUACCGGAUAUUCACUGCUUCCUGCAUGGGGGGUGGUGGAAAGUUUUUCGGUCAGGGUGGGGCUCGCGGCCUAUCAGCUUGUUGGGGGGUGACGGCCCACCAAGGCGACGACGGGUAGCCGGCCUGAGAGGGCGACCGGCCACACUGGGACUGAGACACGGCCCAGACUCCUACGGGAGGCAGCAGUGGGGAAUAUUGCGCAAUGGGCGCAAGCCUGAACGAGCAACGCCGCGUGUGGGACGGAGGCCUUCGGGUUGUAAACCACUUUUCUUGGGAACGAGUAUACGGACGGUACCCGAGGAAGAAGUCUCGGCUAACUACGUGCCAGCAGCCGCGGUAAUACGUAGGAGACGAGCGUUGUCCGGAGUUACUGGGCGUAAAGGGGGCGCAGGCGGCACGUCGCGUGGGGGGUGAAAUCUCCUGGCUCAACUGGGAGGGGGCCUUCCAAACGGGCGUGCUUGAGGCGUGGAGAGGGACGUGGAAUUCCGGGUGGAGCGGUGAAAUGCGUAGAGAUCCGGAGGAACACCGACGGCGAAGGCAGCGUCCUGGCCACGACCUGACGCUCAGGCCCGAAAGCUGGGGGAGCAAACAGGAUUAGAUACCCUGGUAGUCCCAGCUGUAAACGAUGUCCACCAGGUGCCGGGGGUAUCGACCCCUUCGGUGCCGCAGCUAACGUGAUGAGUGGACCGCCUGGGGAGUACGGCCGCAAGGUUAAAACUCAAAGGAAUUGACGG